rnacentral:misc_RNA from 1 species
GAUGAAGAACGCAGCGAAAUGCGAUAAGUAAUGUGAAUUGCAGAAUUCAGUGAAUCAUCGAAUCUUUGAACGCACAUUGCGCCCGCCAGUAUUCUGGCGGGCAUGCCUGUUCGAGCGUCAUUUCAACCAUCAAGCCCUGCUUGCGUUGGGGUCCUGCGGCUGCCCGCAGGCCCUGAAAACCAGUGGCGGGCUCGCUAGUCACACCGAGCGCAGUAAUACAUCUCGCUUUGGGCGUGCGGCGGGUUCUUGCCGUUAAACACCCCCUUGUUACCAAGGUUGACCUCGGAUCAGGUAGGACUACCCGCUGAACUUAAGCAUAUCAAUAAGCGGAGGA